UUCAGCUUCUGUUAAUGCUGUCUCAAGUUCAUCCCUGUACGCUGUAAAUUGAAUCACAUCGGCAUUUUUGUCCCAGGUUGCUUCCUGUAUAGAAUAUUAACCUAGUAACAAAUUUUAAAGCCAUAUUUUGGCAUCACCUAAUGAUUUUCGAAUGGACGUCCUUGUUUAACGAUUUGGAGACUUUGGCCUGAAAUACAUGAAGGACAGUGGUUUUCACCUUGAUCUCUUUACAAAAAAUAAUAUACCGGUUUACAACCUUUUUUUCUUAAAAAAAGCCUACUCUAUUCAUCGACUUUGAAAAUGAUAUCUGUGCAGUUUUGACUUUGAGCUUCACGCGGUUGUCAUGGACAGCUACAGUCCGCCGACGCUGGAAUUUAUACCCCGUGGAUUCGUUUACAUUUCACCCCACUUUAUUCGUGUUUCUAGUGAUGGGCAAGAAAGUGUUUAGUUUCCAUGAAUUGUGGAAAAUGCCUGCAAUCUUGUUGUUCUCGGAUACAAUUUCCAUGGAGCAGCAACUCGUCCGGAGCAGUUCACGGUUUAAGGGACACAUUGUUCUGAAUGAGUCAAUAAUUAAAAUCCCAUUGUGCAUAUAGAACAAGAAUCACUGUUUUAAAGAAAAGGGUUGCGAUGUAGACAGGUUGCUUUUGUUUAUUAAAAUAAAGUCACGGAAACGUUCCAUUGCUACCUAGCACUUUAAAAAUACUGUAAUCCCGUCGAAAAUAUGCACCUUGGGAAUAGACCUAUAAAUUCUUUCAUGCGGCGUAUUUACAGGGAAACGAAUUUAUUUCAAUUCAUGCUUCGAUUAAGAGAAAGAGAAUCUUAUUUUGUGAAACGUGCCCCGUUUCUUCCUCAUUCGCAGUAGAAUUAUACGAGUCAUCGGGACAAAAAAUAAGUUCGGGACUACGGAUAUUAAAAUGACACUGUGCCUUUUUUCGAGUCGCUUAGGUAACCAUUAAAAAUGCAAAUUAAACCUGUCAUGUUAAUCUGUCCUUUUGCGUAUGUGAUAAACUCGAUUGUUUUGUCGCGUUUGCAGAACAUUUAACGUUAGUUGUUACCGCUUAUGAAAAUCCAUAGCUUUAAAAUAUUUAUUUUUCGCAAAAGAGCUUCAUCCAAAAGGAAAAUGUUAGACAAACAUUAGAAAUUUAAAGGAAAGGUAAAAUUGUUAUAAAUACAGAGCAUCAAGCAAAUUGUGAAUACUAAAACGCGGACGAACGUUUCAGAUCUUUGCCAAUGAUUAACUUGCCCUUUGUCGCCAUCCUCCUAUGUACAUCCAGAAACACUCAUUUUCUUUCCGGACCAACCAUUUUCUUAGUCUCGCUCUUGUAUUUCUAUUUGUACUAGUUUCUAUUAAUAAAUACGUAGUAAACCA